rnacentral:sRNA from 1 species
CUAUGAAAAUUGUCAAAAAGUGGUGAUUUUUUAGUACGACAAAUGUGG